rnacentral:rRNA from 1 species
CCUACGGGAGGCAGCAGUGGGGAAUUUUGGACAAUGGGCGCAAGCCUGAUCCAGCCAUGCCGCGUGCAGGAUGAAGGCCUUCGGGUUGUAAACUGCUUUUGUACGGAACGAAAAAGCUCUCUCUAAUACAGGGGGUGAAUGACGGUACCGUAAGAAUAAGCACCGGCUAACUACGUGCCAGCAGCCGCGGUAAU